rnacentral:ncRNA from 1 species
AACCGCCGUAUGCCGAACGGCACGUACGGUGGUGUGAGAGGGAUGGACAAACCAUCCCUACUCGAU